AAAAAGAGAGCAUAUUAUAACAUGUACAGCUUGAUGUUCGUUCCAGAAAGCUCUUAAUUUCUCAUAUAUACUAGCAAUAGUACUACUCUUUAUCAUCUUCUUCAUAUAUAAGCAAGCAGAUCGAAGAAGAGAGAGAGAGAUCUAGUACUCAGGGCUAAGUAGAUCGAGAGAUCGAUCGAGAGAGAUGAUGAAUGAACCACCAAAAUAUGCUUAUCCCUACCCUGCUCAAGGUAAGUACUCUUCUUCUUCUUAAUUCUUCUUGAUUAGUUCAUCUCCUUGCUCAACCCUUCCAUAUAUAUAUAUAUAUAUAUAUUCCUCUUAAUUUGAGACACAUAUUUUAAUUUUAAAGGUCUGGGAGUUUUCAUUUUUAGAGUUGAUUUUGAUUAUAUGUAUGUAUAUGGGAUGGAUGGAUGCGAUCGAUGCAGGUAACUAUUACGGCCCUCCGGUAAUGGCACAGUACUAUGCUGCUCCCCCACCCCCACCCCGGAGAGAACCUGGUUUCCUCGAGGGAUGGUAAAUUAACGCUACUACUAACUCCCCUACCUACCUCUCUCACCAACUAAUACAUGAUUAUGAAUUUUCCUGAUUGGGUUGGUGCUAAUAAUAUGUUUUGUUUGAUAUAUAUGUGGUGGUGCUGCGUACACUUGCAGUCUUGCGGCUUUGUGUUGCUGCUGCCUAUUUGAAGAAUGCUGCGAUCUCUCCAUCUUCAUAGGCUAAUAUAUAUAUAUAGAUCAUCACAACAUCAUACGUACCUGGUCCUUGUGUAUAUAGACUACUACUGAAUCAUCAGUGUUUAAAUGAUUCAUUCCAAAUUUAGAUUCUAUAUCAUAUGAUGAUGUAAUGCAUUAAUUCUUGAUCAAUCAAAUUAAAUUUAGUAUCUCUAUUGAUGUUUGAUUUUCUUUUAAUUAAAUAUGCACCAGAUUCUCUCUCAUCCUAUUGAUUAAUCUUUUUCCUUUUCAUGUUUUGUGGAUGGUGUGAUGUUUUUAUUUAAAGCUAUUGUGU
rnacentral:lncRNA from 1 species